AAACACAUAGCUUUCUUCUCAUCUUUGUGCAUUUUCAAACGUUGUGCAUAUUUCUGAAUCAUUUUUUUUUUUUUACUUCAUAAUAUUGGUUGUCUUCUCUUGUUUCAGAGUUUAGCUCCAACCCCAGUUAAGCAGACCUGAGCAGCUGAUCAAGGAUCAGCAGAAACUCUGCAGAACGGUGGUCCUCCAGCCCAGGACUGGACACCAGUGUUAGUGUCUGUCUCAGAAGCUGAAGAAAAAAGGCCACACCUUAUAGGAAAUAAACGCCUCCUAAGUGUAUGGAAAUACCUGGCUGAGGAGAUCAGUGACAUAAACCAGAUAAAACUGUCAGUGGUCUGAGACAGCUACAAGCCACAAAAACAGUUCAUAGUUCCUGCAUUUCUAUAAUGCAUUAAUGAAUAACAAUAAUUAAAAUAAAAUGUAAUGUCAAGGUUUUGUGUUAAUUCCAGCUAUGUUGAGUAUUCUGUGAAUAAUUUUGAUUUUAGGUGCAUAUUCUUAAUUCUUUGCAA